rnacentral:rRNA from 1 species
UACGUAGGGGGCGAGCGUUGUCCGGAUUUAUUGGGCGUAAAGAGCUCGUAGGCGGUUGCGGAAGUCGGGUGUGAAAUACCGGGGCUCAACUCCGGGGCGCCAUUCGAUACUCCGCUGACUCGAGUCCGGUAGGGGAAGGUGGAAGUUCCUGGUGUAGCGGUGAAAUGCACAGAUAUCAGGAGGAACACCGAUGGCGAAGGCAAUCCCCUGGGCCUGUACUGACGCUCAUGCACGAAAGCGUGGGGAGCAAACAGG